CCCUUCUCAGGUUCGCACCUGGAGAGUUUCCAAUACUCUACCAGCCUCAGUUACUGGAGGGAGAGUCAAGCAGAGGCCCAUCCAUUCCAUUCCUAGCUUGGGCAGUGUCUAGAGAGUGAAAGGCCAUCUGCUACAAGU
rnacentral:snoRNA from 1 species